rnacentral:rRNA from 1 species
GUCGAACGAUGAAGCCCUUCGGGGUGGAUUAGUGGCGAACGGGUGAGUAACACGUGGGCAAUCUGCCCUGCACUCUGGGACAAGCCCUGGAAACGGGGUCUAAUACCGGAUACUGAUCCGUCUGGGCAUCCAGACGGUUCGAAAGCUCCGGCGGUGCAGGAUGAGCCCGCGGCCUAUCAGCUUGUUGGUGAGGUAGUGGCUCACCAAGGCGACGACGGGUAGCCGGCCUGAGAGGGCGACCGGCCACACUGGGACUGAGACACGGCCCAGACUCCUACGGGAGGCAGCAGUGGGGAAUAUUGCACAAUGGGCGAAAGCCUGAUGCAGCGACGCCGCGUGAGGGAUGACGGCCUUCGGGUUGUAAACCUCUUUCAGCAGGGAAGAAGCGAAAGUGACGGUACCUGCAGAAGAAGCGCCGGCUAACUACGUGCCA